rnacentral:rRNA from 1 species
UUCCUUGGAAAAGGACAGCUGAGAGGGUGACACUCCCGUCCGCCUGGCAGAGUGAGUCAUUUGUUAACGAGUCGAGUUGUUUGGGAUUGCAGCUCUAAUUUGGUGGUAAAUUCCAUCUAAAGCUAAAUAUUGGUGGGAGACCGAUAGCGUACAAGUACCGUGAGGGAAAGAUGCAAAGAACUUUGAAAAGAGAGUUAAAGAGUACCUGAAACUGCUGAAACGGAAGCGAAGGAAACCAGUGUUUGUUUGUUCAUAUUUCCCUAGCCACUUGUGGCUUGGGCG